AAUAUUCAAGAAGAAGAUGAAGAUCUACGCACAAGAAGCAAUCAACAUGAGAGCUAUUGCUCCAUAUCUGCUUAUGAAGAAGAAAAGAAGAUGGUCUUGCAAGAAGGAAUUACAUUCAAAGAGCUGAAGCUCUAAUCUACUUAAUCAGACAAGAAAAGACCAAAACUGAAAGAAACAACCAAUACAAGAGCUGCUGCUCGUAAUAUGCUUUCAGAAGAAGAAUGGAACGGUUGCACUUUUAUUGGGAAGGAUCCACAAUAAUAUUCGAAUUAAAUUUGAUUAUUUCCUUUAUGGAGUCAAUUAAAUCAAAACAUAAAGCCCUUCAUACCGAUUUUUCUCUCUGAUCGUAGAAAAAAAAACAACAGAUGCCAAACGAAUCCCCUUCUCUUUCCAUCGUCCAAUAAUCUCUCUUCAAAAAUUCUCUCGUUCUUCUUCUCUCAAAAUCGCUAUCCCUCUCUCUUUCCCUCAAAGGUUUAAGAAAGCCUCAACAAUAUCAUUCAAUUCUGAAAGCUACAAUAUAAACCCUAAAAGCUUCGAAUUCGAAUUAAACGGAAAAUAUCAACGGAUUUACGCAAUCAACAUGGGGUUUUGAAUCAGUGCAUAACAAGGAACAAGUUAGCAUAAAGAUUCCUAAGAGGAAAUGAAGGAAAGUACCUGAUCGGAUGAGUGAUUUUUCUGGUUUAUGCAGCUAGUGUGUAUGUUGAAGAAGGAAUUUUUGGAGAGUUUUUGUUUGGUGGAAGAUAUUGGAGGAGGGACUGACUUUGGUAUUUGGAGGUGAGGCUUAUGCAGAUUUUCCCUCCUUGCUUUUCCCUGUUCCUUGGUCUUUUUUUAUAGAGGAAAGUGUGUGAUCAUUUGGGACAAAGACUGAAGGACAAAGAUCAAAGCUUAACUUCUAAGAAAAAUUUAUGGACAACAUCUUGGUUUUUCUCAUGAAAAGAGGAUUACUAGGUUAAAGGUUGAAUGAACAAGUACAGAUUUUUUUCGUUUCUUUUUCUCUUUUUCUGCCAUGUUAUAGCAAUUAGUUUAUCCUCUUCUUUGGUUUUUCAGAGUAAAAGGACAUCAACUUGGUUUUUUCAUGAAAAGAGGAUUAAAGCAAGAUUUAGUCACUAAGUUAAAGGCUUAGUGAACAAGUUAUGGUACAGAAUUCACUCCCUUUUUUUUUUGUGAUGUUGUACCUUGUAGGACAGCAGCUUGGUUUAUCUCUUUUUUUGGUUUUGGAGAUUAUGGACAAAAGUUUGGUCUUGAGGGAGACUUAACUUUUAAGCCAAAGAAUGCAAAGCUUGAUGAGAGCAUGAGGAUCCGUGCAGGAACCGUGGCAUGAAUGGCGGUGUAUCUUGGAGAAUUCAAGAGUUCAAGAAUUUUGUGUUGUAAUUGGAUUUUAGGUUUAGGAAUUGGAUUUUGCUUGUAGUUGUAACUUAAAAGUGAAACUUUGAAACAACAUGAAGUCUAUUUUAUUUUUGAAUUUGAAUCUCUUGUAAACUUCAAUAUGAAAAGAAUAUGGUCUUGACUUCUUUGAAUGAAA